ACAACAAGUGCAAUCCCCGGAAAUACCUGGGAUCUUUUUACACCGACUCCCUGGUUCACGACCCCGUCUCCCUCAAGUUGCUGACUGACGUCAUCGGAAAAGAUAAAGUCAUGCUUGGAACGGAUUACCCAUUCCCACUGGGCGAGCUCCAACCUGGAUCUCUGAUUGAGUCGAUGACAGAAUUUGAUGAGACACUGAAGGACAAGUUACUAGCUGGGAAUGCCCUGGAGUUUCUGGGCCUCAAAAAAGAAACAUUUGAGUCACAAGGAGAGUGACUCCAAGCUUUGACGGAGUUCAAAUCUCGUGGUCAUAGUUGAUUCAGACUCUGUUGUUGUUGAUGGUUGCUUUUUUAGCAGUGAUUUUAAUUAUUCCAUUUCAGAAAUUUGAAAUUCAAUAAGUGAGAAAAGAAACAACUAGACAAGAAUAUGUUUGGGCGAAAUGGAAUACGUUACAGUUUCUUAAGCAGACUUUGUAAUGCAGCCAACACAAUCAAAACGUAUGAUGUGCUGGGUUGUUUUAUUGCAAAAAUUCCAACAUUAAUCAUACCGAUUUUUGUGAACUGUGCAUGAGCUACAAAAAUUUCAAUGAUCAAUAAAACACUUA